UUUCAUGUAGUUUAUUUAAAACACUUUAUUUUCAUUAAAAAGAAAUUCAUAAAAUUAUGAAAA
rnacentral:tRNA from 1 species